GUUCAGUGAUGAAUCAAAUUCGAUAUGAGCCUAGCCCACAAGUUACAUGAAAUUUCUUAUUUUUUGCUUUGGGUAGCUGUUCAACUUAUAGAAGGCAAGUCGUCGUCCAGUAUAAUCUAUAGUUUCGACUUCUCAUCUAUCGUGACUUUGAUCUCACACUUAACAAUAUGAUCUUGAAUUUAUCACGUUGAACUAUGUAUCACCUCCUUUUUAAGGGGUGUUGAGAACGACACUUAUUUCUCGAUUCUCAUAUUUUUAUAUUGAGUACGGGCAAGUCAUAAGCAUAGGCCAAAUGGGUUUCUUGUACUACUUUGGGAUUAAUAUUUUUGACUGAGUUGUAUGAUUAAAAAUCAAGUCGUGUGGACCCCGAUGAUGUGAAAAAUUCUAUGUUGAAUUGACAUCGUGAAUGAACAGAUUGUUUUUUGGACAUCAACAAAUAAUUUCACGGGUGGCGAUAGAUAGUGUAUGGCUCCAAACAUAUUUGGUUGUCCUUUAGUAGGAUUCCAAAGUAAGAUAGAAACAUAAUAAUUUAUUGGUUUUGUUCAUUCUGUACACACGUGAUCCAACUUAUAUGAAGAAAAUCAACAAAGAAAAAAGGAUAUGACAUCGGGUACCAAAUGUCUGACCUAUAUACUUUCCCGUGCCAAUUUCUAGACGAGAUGAUUCAAGUGGCUAUAAUUUUUGUAUAUAGAUUUUCAACGGAAAAUAUCACUUUGCUCGAAAAUGUUUGAUAUCCGGGGUAAUCGACCCUCACAGAGUACAUGGGUCCCACGUGAAUUAUAUAAUACCCAACUCUCGAGGUGGAUGUGUUCGGUCAUCCUCUAUGUCAAUCAUUAUAUUUCCUUAGCUCGAUUCAUUUUCAACACUAUGGAUGUGUUCCAAUAAAUUUAUUAGUAACUUAUAAAUAAUAUUGGUUUAAGAACUGAAUCUAAGUCUGGUCAUUGACUACUGAUCGUUGUCUGUGUAAUAAUUUGUCAACGGGACAAUUUAUUUAAACUGCGAAACCUCUGUAGAGAAUGGGUUAUAGAUAUCUGGAGUUGGCUUGAGAUGAGAGAUAAAGAAAUAAGAACCCUUUAUAGCUUUAUUGGGACCAUGAUCACGGGAGCAUAUGGUGGAGUCAUGCCCCUUUCCCUUUCUCUGCCACAACUAAAAUCCAAAAAGCAAAAAUUCACUCACACCCAAAAACAUGUUGAAUCGAAUAUGUAUUGUGUGUGUGUAAGAGAGAGAGAAGUGAAAACAAACAUAGAACAACCUGAUACCAUGAACUGAGGUGGGGUUUUCAGAAAUAUUGCAGUAACUAUAAUCUAAAAAAGAAAAGAAAAAGGAUCAAGAAUAGACCAAAAUAACAACCAAGAAUGAGAACUUAACUGCCUUCUUAUUGCACAUUCAGUAAGAACGACUAACUGCAGAAGAAUUCCUAGCCAUCCCAAAAGCAAUCCCUGUUGUUUCUCCCAAAUCAUCUUCUUUCCUGCCAUAAAUGGUAUAACCUAUGCUUCAGGGUCGGAUACAUGAAUUCAUUUCGCCAGCGUAAAAUGAAAAACAGAAAGAAAAACUACUGGGUUUGAGGGAUUGUGUGUUAUUACCUAUACGAAGAAGCAAAGAAAAGGCCUUCGCUUUUUCUUAACCAGUUAACCUCUGUUACAAGUUUUAAAAACGCCUCUAUAUAGGAGAAACAGAAGACUAGCUGGCGGUGGAAUAUGGUGUGAAUGUGAUGCUGUAAUAAAUGGUAACUCCAAUAGGCUGCAACUAAGGGGAAAAAUACGAAACGAAAUUAGGUAACACAGUCAAGUGUGAGUCUGUGAAGAGCAGUUACCAAAGAAUGGUACACAAUUUUAUGCUUUCAAAACGUUCAUAUAUAUACCAGUAAGGAAAUGGGAAUGCCAG
rnacentral:lncRNA from 1 species